AUUGAACGCUGGCGGCAGGCCUAACACAUGCAAGUCGAGCGGAUGAAGGGAGCUUGCUCCUGGAUUCAGCGGCGGACGGGUGAGUAAUGCCUAGGAAUCUGCCUGGUAGUGGGGGAUAACGUCCGGAAACGGGCGCUAAUACCGCAUACGUCCUGAGGGAGAAAGUGGGGGAUCCUCGGACCUCACGCUAUCAGAUGAGCCUAGGUCGGAUUAGCUAGUUGGUGGGGUAAAGGCCUACCAAGGCGACGAUCCGUAACUGGUCUGAGAGGAUGAUCAGUCGCACUGGAACUGAGACACGGUCCAGACUCCUACGGGAGGCAGCAGUGGGGAAUAUUGGACAAUGGGCGAAAGCCUGAUCCAGCCAUGCCGCGUGUGUGAAGAAGGUCUUCGGAUUGUAAAGCACUUUAAGUUGGGAGGAAGGGCAGUAAGUUAAUACCUUGCUGUUUUGACGUUACCAACAGAAUAAGCACCGGCUAACUUCGUG
rnacentral:rRNA from 1 species